GUCCACGCCGUAAACGAUGAAUACUAGGUGUAGGAGGUAUCGACCCCUUCUGUGCCGGAGCUAACACAAUAAGUAUUCCGCCUGGGAAGUACGAUCGCAAGAUUAAAACUCAAAAGGAAUUGACGGGGGCCCGCACAAGCGGUGGAGUAUGUGGUUUAAUUCGACGCAACGCGAAGAACCUUACCAGGUCUUGACAUUGAUCGCUAUUCCAAGAAAUUGGAAGUUCCUCUUCGGAGGACGAGAAAACAGGUGGUGCACGGCUGUCGU
rnacentral:rRNA from 1 species